rnacentral:rRNA from 1 species
AUUGAACGCUGGCGGCAUGCUUUACACAUGCAAGUCGAACGGUAACAGGCCGCAAGGUGCUGACGAGUGGCGCACGGGUGAGUAAUGCAUCGGAACGUGCCCAGUCGUGGGGGAUAACUACUCGAAAGAGUAGCUAAUACCGCAUACGAUCUAUGGAUGAAAGCGGGGGACCGUAAGACCUCGCGCGAUUGGAGCGGCCGAUGUCAGAUUAGGUAGUUGGUGGGGUAAAGGCUCACCAAGCCAACGAUCUGUAGCUGGUCUGAGAGGACGACCAGCCACACUGGGACUGAGACACGGCCCAGACUCCUACGGGAGGCAGCAGUGGGGAAUUUUGGACAAUGGGCGCAAGCCUGAUCCAGCAAUGCCGCGUGCAGGAAGAAGGCCUUCGGGUUGUAAACUGCUUUUGUACGGAACGAAACGGCUCUGGUUAAUACCCGGGGCUAAUGACGGUACCGUAAGAAUAAGCACCGGCUAACUACGUG